AGUGAACGCUGGCGGUAGGCCUAACACAUGCAAGUCGAACGGCAGCACAGUAAGAGCUUGCUCUUACGGGUGGCGAGUGGCGGACGGGUGAGGAAUACAUCGGAAUCUACUUUUUCGUGGGGGAUAACGUAGGGAAACUUACGCUAAUACCGCAUACGACCUACGGGUGAAAGCAGGGGAUCUUCGGACCUUGCGCGAUUGAAUGAGCCGAUGUCGGAUUAGCUAGUUGGCGGGGUAAAGGCCCACCAAGGCGACGAUCCGUAGCUGGUCUGAGAGGAUGAUCAGCCACACUGGAACUGAGACGCGGUCCAGACUCCUACGGGAGGCAGCAGUGGGGAAUAUUGGACAAUGGGCGCAAGCCUGAUCCAGCCAUACCGCGUGGGUGAAGAAGGCCUUCGGGUUGUAAAGCCCUUUUGUUGGGAAAGAAAAGCAGCAGGUUAAUACCCCGCUGUUCUGACGGUACGCAAAGAAUAAGCACCGGCUAACUUCGUG
rnacentral:rRNA from 1 species